CCCAAGCAGGGGUUCAGCCCAUUGCUUUCAGCCACCACUAGGAUGUACCACCACGUUACUGUUCAGUGGAUCGUCCUCAGACUCCAGUGUGAACACCCAGAUUUGACCUCCCAUCAUAUAAUAUCUCCCAGCUCUCGGUCGCCGCCUGUAACGGAUAGGCUGUCAUAUUAAUCUCGCAGAGUGUUUUUCUUUUUAUGAGAUCGGCGAUUUUGUGGUUCCACGCCUGCAGUCUGCCGUGAGUCUGUCUGUCUUUCAUUGCGGAUACCGUGACGGAAGGCCGGACCACCGGGAGGAAAACACCAAGAGGGGGAAGAUGGAAACUGGAUGCAUGAGGAGAAGCACGUCGACAACACAUCCUGAAGUUCAAUUUUUAUUGCAUCAUCCUCCCUUCCCAGCAUGGUGUCACUCAAUAUUGGCCAUGUCGGUUGGAGGUUUUGAACACUAAGCUCACAAGAAGAACUCAACAGAGGGGAGCACCUUCAGACAGAAGUCGACUUCACUUCAACCCCUGUGAAGAUUGAUGACACUGGUCCUUGUUUCAAUGGGUUUAAGGAACAAGUGGCCCUCAGAGACUCAUUACACCUCAGCAAGAUUUGGAGAAUGGAGUGACACUGGUCCUGAUUACCAGAUUCAUCAUUUGUAUUGGACUGUGUUGCUCUUUUACAA
ensembl:lncRNA